AUUGAACGCUGGCGGCAGGCCUAACACAUGCAAGUCGAGCGGAUGAAGGGAGCCUGCUCCUGGAUUCAGCGGCGGACGGGUGAGUAAUGCCUAGGAAUCUGCCUGGUAGUGGGGGAUAACGUCCGGAAACGGGCGCUAAUACCGCAUACGUCCUGAGGGAGAAAGUGGGGGAUCUUCGGACCUCACGCUAUCAGAUGAGCCUAGGUCGGAUUAGCUAGUUGGUGGGGUAAAGGCCUACCAAGGCGACGAUCCGUAACUGGUCUGAGAGGAUGAUCAGUCACACUGGAACUGAGACACGGUCCAGACUCCUACGGGAGGCAGCAGUGGGGAAUAUUGGACAACGGGCGAAAGCCUGAUCCAGCCAUGCCGCGUGUGUGAAGAAGGUCUUCGGAUUGUAAAGCACUUUAAGUUGGGAGGAAGGGCAGUAAGUUAAUACCUUGCUGUUUUGACGUUACCAACAGAAUAAGCACCGGCUAACUUCGUG
rnacentral:rRNA from 1 species